rnacentral:tRNA from 1 species
GGUGCGGUAGCCAAGUGGCUAAGGCAGCGGUCUGCAAAACUGCUAUUCGUGGGUUCGAUUCCCACCCGCACCU